GCGCUCGUGGCCUAAGGGUUAUGGCGCCUGCCUACCGCGCAGGAAGCCAGGGUGCGAUUCCUGGGCGUG
rnacentral:tRNA from 1 species